rnacentral:tRNA from 1 species
GGAGAGGUGCCCGCAGCGGCCCAACGGGGUCCGGCGCCAGCCGGUUCGGGUGCAAGCCCACGCAGGUUCGAAUCCUGCCCUCUCCG